UGAGGUGUUUAAUUGGGAGAAUGCAUUGAGGUUGUCUCCUCCUGGAUCUCUGAGCUGCCUUGAAAUCCCAUUAAAUAGCUGCUUUCAUGAAGCUAGUGCUUAAUCAGAAGGCCUCUGGUACCUUGUGGAAGAUGGAUCCUGUCAAGCUAAAUUUGGGAUUACUUGUGAUGAAAUUAAACAUAAGGUCAAUAAAGAUACUUGUGGUUUGAGAAUCAUGAAAAAUAUUUAUCUUGGUUCUCAUAACACUUAAACUAAAAUGAUUCAAAAUCAAUGUGGCAGAGUAAAAGGAUUAAACACUGGCUUGGAAGCACAUCCCAAAAUGUCAUUGUAAACAGGAAAUCAGAACUGAGGGGGAGUAUUUCUUGUGGGGUCUUCGAGAUGCCUUUGUGGCCCUGAAUGACCAACUGUUUCAGGAGCAGCCGAGCAGAAAACAGCAAGCCAGCGGUCAGCGUGGCACUGCACAGGGACAUACAGCAGCCUGCACCACUCCACCAGCUGGGCGAGCAAAGGGCUGUGCUUUCUGGAGUCAAACAGUGCCCAGAUACAAAGGGCCUGGCUACAGCCAGCUUCCUUCUGCUGCAGCCAUUUGUAUGUAGCUGCCAGUGCAGCCUGAGAGCACACAGUCCUCUGAGGGAAGGAGGAGAAACAGCGAUAAAGUACUUCAACUACAUCUGUCCCUUAUGAGAAGCAUAUUAAUCAAACAGAAACUCUGUGAGGGUGCCAGGGUUCCUGUCUGGCUUUCCAGUCUCUACAGCAAGAAGUCACUGGUGCAAGGACAGGCCUCACCAGGUUUGUUUAAGAGUGUUCGAGAGAAGAAGCUGAAAUGCGGAAGAGAUUUUGGUUGUGGCAUAUUAAGAAUGAGGCUAUCGUGAGCAGGAUUCCUUGAGGUCCCUGAUGUCCUCAUCGAUGGAGAGAGGUCCCUUCUUUAACUCCUAUGCAUGCCUAGAUUCAUACAAAAAAUGGGGUUCACUCCAAACAAGCUUCCAGUUGUUUUCCCUGUGUCUUUUGAACCUGGGAAGGAGAUUGUUGCUCUCAGAGUGCUGCUUUUCCCUGCUGCUGAGUUUUCCCAUUUACUCUACACGGAGUGAACUGGUGGAGCUGAGACUUGGACAGAGGAGCAAAAGCUAAAUGUGGCAUCUGAAAGAACAAACAAUCAGGAUGAAAUAACUGCACAGGCUGUGGGGCUGAAUUAAUGGCAUUCUCUGCAAGAAGUUUGUGUCCAUAAAACUGUUGACUGAGUGGUCUUGACUAUGACAGCGAUGCCUUGUGCAUGUCCUCUGCACACUGAUGGAACCUUCUCCUCCUGCCUCAUUUCCCGGUGCUGGCUGGCUGCAGAGGAGCUGGUGGAGCUUGUGUGGACAGCAGCACCCCUUGCUCACAGAGGAUGGGGAUAUUUGAGGAGUGGGGAGGUCCAGGUUCCUGGACCCUGUAAAGCUUGGCUUUUUAUUGUUUUAAGGGCUUAGUUCUAUUUAGUUUUGAUUUUAAAGGGUGAAGAGGGAGGAAAAAAAAAACAAAACACCAGCUUCCAGAAAAAAACAACAGCUCAAGCUCUAAGAGCCAGAUCAUAGCAUGAGAACCCAACCCAGUGUGGGAGAAGGCUAUAUCAGAUCACUGCAUGCCCGAGGAGCAAGAAUUCACUGUCUGAUGAAAAGCAGCAGAGCUCAGACCCUAUUUGAAAAAGUAGCAUCUUUGAUAUAAAAAAAAAUCCCCAACCAACAACCCCAAACCACUCAGCCAAUAAAAAGCCUCAGACACACAGGAUCCCCAUUCAUGGUGGGAGGGAUUUAGUGGCAGUAUUUUCCUUCUUUAAGGUUUGGCACAGCCUUAAAGGAAUCUCUUUAAAAGCUUCCAGAGCUGAUUAUGUUUUGGGUUGUGUUUCAAAUCGCCCUUCCCCCAGCAUGUUUGGUCAGCUCUCAAACAAGUUCCCAGAAUAAAUUAGACAUAACGGUAGCAGGAGAUUUUUUCCCCCCCUUUUUCUUUUCUUGGGGAGGAGGAAGGAAUAAAUGACACCAAAUUCUGUAAUGGAAAGAAAAGAAGAAGGAAAAAAAGCGUGCAUCGGAAACUGCUGCUGAGUGACUCAUGUUGCCGGACAAACGGAACCUCACUCAUCACUCCAUCUUCAUCCUCCUCCUCCUCCUCUGGUGAGAGGAAAAAGUCUUGGAAAAAUAUCAGCUGCACCCCACACACCCCAACACCAUCCCCCUACUUUUUCUCCCAUGGCAUCUGUACACAAGGAAUCAAUCCAAGCCACAAUGAUGGUUUCAUGUGCUUCUUGGGGCAGGCGUCUCUGGGGUGUUUUGUUUUAAUAGCCAACUAGGAAAAGCCUCCGAGGUGACCUUGGAAAAAUGUAGGCACCAAAGGAAAAUGUUGUGGAAGGGGAGAGGGGGCAGUGUUGGAGUCCUUGAGUGCCUUAUGUUUGGAGGCUUCUUUUUUUUUUUUCCCCUCAUCAUGUUUUCUUCUAAAUUUCCACUGAAACUUAUUUGCAAGGCUUUAUAAUUUUUUUAGGAGUGGGAAGAGAAGGGAGGAGGAUGCACUGAGAGGCAGAAGGAGCUGGCCACAACUCUGACUUAAAUGCCAUGUCAUAAAAGAGGUAGUGCAAGGGGGGAAGGGUGGGAGGCAAAAAAAUGGCUCUGUUCCUCCUCUGUUUGGGAGAGUCAUUAGCAUUUUUAUGAAGCAUAUAAACUGUAUACAAAUAAGAUGGGUUUCAUUACCUUCAAGUUAGGGGGCAGUCUUUUGUUUGAUUGGUUGGUUGGGGUUUUUUUUUCCUUUCUCAAAAAAUCUUCUGCAAAUGUUUGGUGCUGCCUGCCAGAAAAGCCACUUAAAUGCAGCUUUCUAGAGGGCCAGCUCCAGUGAGCCUUGUAUGGGCAUGAGGACUAUUAGCCAGCAGCAGCCCCUUCCAGUUGUGGAGCAGUAGGGUUGACUGGGUAGAUACAAUGUGUUUGUUCCACUGUGUGCCUCUUUCAGGGCUGCUACUUCUUCCCAAUAUCUUGCCACUGUAACUCUCCCCUCCUUCCAGCACCAUUCACUGUUUGCUGCCCAGGUUUGCACACCACAUUGCUCCAAGAGAUGGAGCUCCCAGGAAACUGGGUAGGGGUGGUGCCAAGAGCAGUGAGUAGCCUAUGACAACAGUUCAGAGUAGCCAGAAGCCAUGUGGGGAUGUAGGACAACAAACAGUACUGGGCCACUUUGUCUGACUGUCCUUGUGGGGACACAUAGCCAUGAUAAGAGAUGUUACUAGUGGGCUCCAUGAUUGGGCUCCACAAAGCUCAUCCUUUGUGCUCCUUCCCUCAUCCCUACACCUUACCCAGGCUUCACAACCCAUGCCAUGAUGCUUCAGAGCUGGCUGCUCACCCCAUCCCUGUGCUGCUCUGUACAGAGAUGAGACAGCAGCCAACCCUGCUCCUGCACCCACAUGCCUAUGGGCAGACGGGAGAGGAGCUCCGGGCUUCAUUUCCCAGCUGAGGCCUGUGAGCAAUUGCUGGACGACAAAUGACUUUCAGCUGAACUGCAUUAGCCAUGGGUGGUGCUGCCUGAAGAGAUGGCUGCAGGGAGCCGCAGCUCUAUUUAGGGCAGUCUCUGCCAGCUGUCUCUGGGCUAUCAGCAAUGGGAGCAGCUGUGCCAAGCUGGGAUCUUUAGGGGCUCUCCUGUGGGCUGAGGUCUUUGGGAGAGUUGUGCCUGUGCUGGAAAAGCCUUCCCAAAAGUGAGCAGUUCCCUGGGGCUUUAUGGAAAGAAUACAACACCCGUGGCUCAUUUGAAAUGGACAGGAAAGAAGUUGUUGCAGGGGACAUGACCACCUCGUGAAUGGAUGGUCAGCAUGAAGGUGAAGAUGAGAAUCUUAUGCAACUGCUCUUGCUUCAAAACAAGUCUGUGGUGUGGCAUUAGUUGGCAGGUAUGAAGACACCGCUUCUAAGACAGAUGCAUUCUCUGACCAUGCUAGCAUCCAACAAGGUCAUGCAGUUCCAAGCACUCUCCAUUCAUGCACAACCUGUGGGAAGCACCAGAUAGAGCAGGCUGCUGAAAUGUCAGAUGGUAAAAACAAGCAAGAGUUCCAGAUGGGACAACUGGAAGAGAAGCACGACAAAGAUGAUAAUGGGAAAGCUUCAGAUUCUAACUCAAUUGGGAGUUUCAUCCCCUCACCUGUGACUUCCAAACCCGUUCUCUGUGCAAGUCUUUGGGCAAAGCAGUAUUCCAUGAGGAAACUUCUUCAUUAGCAGGCACUACCGGCGUGGUCUCGGCGGCAGCUGGGAUCCUUCGGGUGCCGGCGGCCGGAGUCCGAGCACACAGUCCCGCCGGGCGCGGCAGUGCGCGGAGGAGGCGUUGCCAGAAGCAACCGCGGGCUAUUUAAACGCCCCCGGGGAGCGCCGCGACCCUGAGCAGUGGGAAGAGGGCGCGGCGAGGCGUGG